UACAGAGGCCUCAAGCGUUGUUCGGAUUCAUUGGGCGUAAAGGGUGCGUAGGUGGCGGGGUAAGUCUGGUGUGAAAUCUCGGGGCUCAACCCCGAAACUGCACUGGAUACUGCCUUGCUCGAGUACUGGAGGGGAGAUUGGAAUUUACGGUGUAGCAGUGAAAUGCGUAGAUAUCGUAAGGAAGACCAGUUGCGAAGGCGAAUCUCUGGGCAGUUACUGACACUGAGGCACGAAGGCCAGGGGAGCAAACGUG
rnacentral:rRNA from 1 species